UACGAAGGGGGCUAGCGUUGCUCGGAAUCACUGGGCGUAAAGCGCACGUAGGUGGCUUCUUAAGUCGGGGGUGAAAUCCUGGAGCUCAACUCCAGAACUGCCUUCGAUACUGGGAAGCUCGAGUUCGGGAGAGGUGAGUGGAACUGCGAGUGUAGAGGUGAAAUUCGUAGAUAUUCGCAAGAACACCAGUGGCGAAGGCGGCUCACUGGCCCGGUACUGACGCUGAGGUGCGAAAGCGUGGGGAGCAAACAGG
rnacentral:rRNA from 1 species